rnacentral:tRNA from 1 species
GCGGGCGUGGCGGAACUGGUAGACGCACCAGAUUUAGGAUCUGGCGCCUAACGGCAUGGGGGUUCAAGUCCCUCCGCCCGCACCA